GGCGGCCACCGCUAUAGGAAUUCGAUUAAGACAUGCGAGUCGAGAGUCGUAAUGGACUCGGCGGACUGCUCAGUAACACGUGGACAACGUGCCCUUAAGAGGAGGAUAAUCUCGGGAAAUUGAGGAUAAUACUCCAUAGAUCAUGGGAUCUGGAACGACCCAUGGUUCAAAGUUCCGGCGCUUAAGGAUCGGUCUGCGGCCUAUCAGGUAGUAGUGGGUGUAACGUACCUACUAGCCUACGACGGGUAUGGGCCUUGAGAGAGGGAGCCCAGAGUUGGAUUCUGAGACACGAAUCCAGGCCCUACGGGGCGCAGCAGUCGCGAAAACUUCACAAUGGGGGCAACCCCGAUGAGGGAAUUCCUAGUGCUAGUACUUUUGUAUUAGCUUUCUUUCAGCUUAG
rnacentral:rRNA from 1 species